rnacentral:lncRNA from 1 species
UCCGGCCCCGUCCAGAACUUCCUCCCAGGUCCACUUCUCCCGCCAGUCCAACUCGAAUUCCCUCUGCUCCUUCUUCUGCUGCUUGGUCCAUAGUUGGUGGGUGAUUCUGUCACGGUUGUCGUCGGUGAAUGAGGACCAAAACGCAGCAGGAAGAGCUCAUGACGUCUGGCUGCACUUUUGCAGCAUUGAGCUGGAACCCUGAUCCGCCACAGACUCUGGCCUGCCAAACAGCAAUAUCAGAGGACGUCCUGCGCCAGUUUGCAGCCGGAGUGUGGGGUGUCUUUGAGGGGGAUUACCUUGGCUUUCCAUAAAUCCAAUGCAUGCGGGAAGUAGUUAUUGUAUUUUACAUUGGAAAUCAAAUUAUACAUGUAAGUAUUUUUUACAAUGAAGAGUUGUUGUUUUUUUCUGUGUCCAGACAGCUGAUCUCAACUGGAAGCUCACAAAUUAGUCAUUUGAGGAGUUCAAACAUUGGCACUUUGAACAAGAGACUGUCAGGAAGUAGGCGCCACUAGAACAAAGUGUCCUUCGUCUCUGUCCACAGUGGACACAGAGGACACACUGCGGACCGGUGCUGGAGGCGUCCACCCAGGAGUCCGGAGGGCAGGCAGAGCACUACAUCGACCCCCCAGGUUAUCAGCCGGUCCUGGUGCCCUGGCAGCAGAGCCAGACGGAAGCUCCUGCGGUGGAGGAAUGGGUACAGCGCUCUCAGGAGACCUGGAGUGCUGUCCAGGAGUGCCUGAAGCGGGCUAUCAGGCGACAGAAGGAGAACGCUGACCGCCGCCGCAGUGAGGCCCCCGUGUAUCAUCCGGGGGAUAGAGUCUGGCUCUCGACCCGGAACCUGCCCCUCCG